UACGUAGGGGGCGAGCGUUGUCCGGAAUUAUUGGGCGUAAAGAGCGUGUAGGCGGUUUGGUAAGUCUGCCGUGAAAACCCGGGGCUCAACCCCGGGCGUGCGGUGGAUACUGCCAGGCUAGAGGAUGGUAGAGGCGAGUGGAAUUCCCGGUGUAGUGGUGAAAUGCGCAGAUAUCGGGAGGAACACCAGUAGCGAAGGCGGCUCGCUGGGCCAUUCCUGACGCUGAGACGCGAAAGCUAGGGGAGCGAACAGG
rnacentral:rRNA from 1 species